AACGCACGAGACCUGCGGACCUGCGGAGGGAUCAUUACCGAGUUUACAACUCCCAAACCCAAUGUGAACGUUACCAAACUGUUGCCUCGGCGGGGUCACGCCCCGGGUGCGUCGCAGCCCCGGAACCAGGCGCCCGCCGGAGGAACCAACCAAACUCUUUCUGUAGUCCCCUCGCGGACGUUAUUUCUUACAGCUCUGAGCAAAAAUUCAAAAUGAAUCAAAACUUUUAGCAACGGAUCU
rnacentral:misc_RNA from 1 species